rnacentral:rRNA from 1 species
AUACGUAGGGUGCAAGCGUUAAUCGGAAUUACUGGGCGUAAAGCGUGCGCAGGCGGUUUUGUAAGACAGAGGUGAAAUCCCCGGGCCCAACCUUGGAACUGCCUUUUGGACUGCAAGGCUAGAGUACGGCAGAGGGGGAUGGAAUUCCGCGGUGAGGAGUGAAACUCGUAGAUAUGCGGAGGAACACCGAUGGCGAAGGCAAUCCCCUGGGCCUGUACUGACGCUCAGGCACGAAAGCGUGGGGAGCAAACAGGAUUAGAUACCCUGGUAGUCCACGCCCUAAACGAUGUCAACUGGUUGUUGGGUCUUCAUUGACUCAGUAACGAAGCUAACGCGUGAAGUUGACCGCCUGGGGAGUACGGCCGCAAGGUUGAAACUCAAAUGAAUUGACGGGG